rnacentral:rRNA from 1 species
ACGAACGCUGGCGGCGUGCUUAACACAUGCAGGUCGAACGAGCCUCUCCAAUGAAACUUGAAGCUUCGGCAGAUAGUCGAUUUGGGCUCAGAGGCUAGUGGCGAACGGGUGAGUAACACGUGGGCAAUCUACCCUAAAGACAGGGAUAACCUUGGGAAACCAGGGCUAAUACCAGAUAAUGUUUCACAUCACAUGGUGUGAAACCAAAACUCCGGUGCUUUAGGAUGAGCCCGCGCAUGAUUAGCUUGUUGGUGGGGUAAUGGCCUACCAAGGCGACGAUCAUUAGCCG